CUGCAAACAUCUGAACAUAAAGGUUUGAUUUGUUUAAUUAGCAAUAAUUGUUGCAGUUUGUCUUUUAAUAUUUUCAUUUAAACAGAGAAACCUGAACAGCUGGUUUGAAACAAACUGUCAGCAGAGGGCAGUGGUGUCUGUGGAAACUCUUCCUCUUCCUCACUUCUUUUAUCAUCAGGUCAAAAUCAAACUGAAGUUAUUUUCUGCUGCUGAUUUAUUCUCAGAGGAUGGAUUCAAGCUGUUUUUAAGUUUUUUUCUUGUCAGACUGAUUUUGACCAAUGAGGCUCAGCUGUGAAGCAAACAGCACAGGAUGGAGGACAUCGCCUGCAGCUCUCUGACUCUUUUAAUUGGUUUCUGCUGACUGAGGAGCCUUCAUGAAGCAGAUGUUCAUCAGAUGAAGAGAUGAUUUAUUCCUCAGUGACAUCAUCAUCAUCAUCAUCAUCAGCUUCAUCAUCAUCAUCAUCAUCAUCUGCUUCAUCUGCUCGAUGCAAAAAAGGUCCACUUCUUCACCACUGUGGACCGGAUCAACACCAUCAUGACUCACUCCAGAGGCUCUUUAUUUACCGUUCUCGCUCCAUACCUGAGGUGUUUCCUGUCCUCCUGCUGGGACGUCCUCUGAGCCGUCCCAGCAGGAGCGGAGGUGCGGUCCUGGUUUCAUAAUAAAUGUUUGUUCCUUCAGACUCGGCGUGAAUCAAUCUCUGCUCCUCGCUCUGCCAGAGGCCGAGCUGCUGGCUGUCCUUCCCGCCGGCCUCGUUUGAGACGACGCAACACGCCAACAAAUUACAUCACUUCUGGCUGAGAGGACGAGGAUAAAA